AUGGGAACGCGAAGAACCUUACCUAGACUUGACAUCUCCUGAAUAGUGUAGAGAUACAUGAAGCCCUUCGGGGCAGGAAGACAGGUGGUGCAUGGUUGUCGUCAGCUCGUGUCGUGAGAUGUUGGGUUAAGUCCCGCAACGAGCGCAACCCUUAUUACUAGUUGCUACCAUUAAGUUGAGCACUCUGGUGAGACUGCCCGGGUUAACCGGGAGGAAGGCGGGGAUGACGUCAAAUCAUCAUGCCCCUUAUGUCUAGGGCAACACACGUGCUACAAUGGUGAGUACAGAUAGAUGCGAUACCGCAAGGUGGAGCCAAACUCUAAAACUCAUCCCAGUUCGGAUUGUAGGCUGCAACUCGCCUACAUGAAGUUGGAGUUGCUAGUAAUCGCGAAUCAGAAUGUCGCGGUGAAUACGUUCCCGGGUCUUGUACACACCG
rnacentral:rRNA from 1 species